UACGUAGGUGGCAAGCGUUGUCCGGAUUUACUGGGCGUAAAGGGCGUGCAGGCGGUUUGUUAAGUGCAGAGUGAAAGCUCCCGGCUCAACUGGGAGAGGUCUUUGCAUACUGGCAAACUCGAGGGAGGCAGAGGAAAGUGGAAUUCCCGGUGUAGUGGUGAUAUGCGUAGAUAUCGGGAGGAACACCUGUGGCGAAGGCGGCUUUCUGGGCCUUACCUGACGCUGAGACGCGAAGGCGUGGGGAGCGAACCGG
rnacentral:rRNA from 1 species